rnacentral:lncRNA from 1 species
CUGAUAUUGUAAUAUCUGUUUUUCAAAACUUCAUCAUUUUUUAGAGUUAAUUAUUUUUUUUAAAAAAGAGUAUUAUUAUUUUUAGAGCAGUUUUAGGUUCAUAGCAAAAUUAAGAGGAGGGUACAGAGAUCUUCCAUACACUCUCUGACCCCACGCAUGCAUAGCCUUCCUGAUUAUCAACAUCCUCAACCAGAGUAGUCAUUUAUCACAGUUGAUAGUUCCGCUAACACAUCAUAAUCACCCAAAAUCUGUAGUAUAUUAAAGUUCAUUCUUGGUGUUGUACAUUGUGUGGGUUUGGACCAAUAAUUUCUGUUUUAAAUAUCAAAAUAUGCUAAAAAAUCAGAAGACUUAUUUGGUGCUUAUUAUGAACAGAAAUAAUUCAGGAUUGAUGUAUUUCAAGUUGACAUGAGUUAAAUUCUCUUUUGAAGUUCUUAAUAUUUUUAAGGCAGUUAUUUCACUCGGACAAUACCUGCACAUUAGCUUUGAAUUUGAUGAGAAUUGCUCUUCCAUAUUGUUUCCACUGUUCUGUAUGUUUCCAUUGAAACAUUUGUGAACAUUUGUAGAACAGUUGAAGUUCCUCACCCAUUGGUAGGUAGGAAUUUUAUAGGAAUUUAAUUUUAUAGGAUCCUAUCUUUAAAAAGCAGGCAUUCUUUUGUGUUUAAAUUCUCCCUCUUGUGCUUAGUACAUACAGAACACUGUGGAUGUUUUGUUUACCCACUAUCCUAACUGCAGAGGACGUUGGCAGCUUUAGAUAGUCUAUGUAAAAGGCGCUUAGAAACAGCAAUUUGAUUAGAAGACAUUGCUACCUUUAUAUAGCAAUCAUGUUGUUUUUAUUUUUUAUAUUUAGAUGGGGAGGGGACUGGCAAAAUUUUGGAGGAGGCAUUUAAAGGUUGAGGAGCCACCUCAGCCUUUAACCAGAAGACUGCCAAGCCUCUUCUCGCUGGAGCUGCUGGCUGCGUAUCCAAUGUCCUGAUUGGCUAAGCCCAGUCGCUAAAAGAGCAACCUUCGGGCUCUUACGGACUCCCACGGCGUCCUUAGCAACGAGCCUCCUUCCCCGGCGACCUCGAGAACCUUGGUGAGUCCUGCUUCCGAGGGUUUGAGAGCUCAUGCUGCCACGUUCACCAUGGGGGCGGCCGGG